rnacentral:sRNA from 1 species
GUGAAAUCCUUGACUGCGGAAGUCUCUAACUAAAGCAUCACAUGCACUGCUUGCCAUAUGACACUUAUCCACGUUGCCCUGCUAACAUGAUUCAAACUCUCUUUGGAAGGAUCACCGCUACGGGUGAGAGGAUGUUCAGUGUCCAUGACCAUUCAGUCCUCAGCAAGA